UACCUGCAGCCCGAGUGGUGGCCGCUAUUAUUGGGCCUAAAACGUCCGUAGCCGGUUCUAUAAAUGCCUGGGUAAAUCGUACGGCUUAACCGUACGAAUUCCGGGUAGACUGUUCAACUUGGGACCGGGAGAGGCUAGAGGUACUCCUGGGGUAGAGGUGAAAUUCUGUAAUCCUAGGGGGACCACCAGUGGCGAAGGCGUCUAGCUAGAACGGGUCUGACGGUGAGGGACGAAGCCCUGGGGAG
rnacentral:rRNA from 1 species